CAGUGAUGAUGGCAAAGAGGCCACACCCGUUCCCAUCCCGAACACGGAAGUUAAGCUCUUUUGCGCCGAUGGUAGUUGGGGGUCUCCCCCUGUGAGAGUAGGACUUCGUUGGGCC
rnacentral:rRNA from 1 species